GAGUUUGAUCCUGGCUCAGGAUGAACGCUGGCGGCGUGCCUAACACAUGCAAGUCGAACGAAGCACCUUACCUGAUUCUUCGGAUGAAGGCCUGGUGACUGAGUGGCGGACGGGUGAGUAACGCGUGGGUAACCUGCCCUGUACAGGGGGAUAACAGCUGGAAACGGCUGCUAAUACCGCAUAAGCGCACGAGGAGACAUCUCCUUGUGUGAAAAACUCCGGUGGUACAGGAUGGGCCCGCGUCUGAUUAGCUGGUUGGCAGGGUAACGGCCUACCAAGGCAACGAUCAGUAGCCGGUCUGAGAGGAUGAACGGCCACAUUGGAACUGAGACACGGUCCAAACUCCUACGGGAGGCAGCAGUGGGGAAUAUUGCACAAUGGGGGAAACCCUGAUGCAGCAACGCCGCGUGAGUGAAGAAGUAUUUCGGUAUGUAAAGCUCUAUCAGCAGGGAAGAUAAUGACGGUACCUGACUAAGAAGCUCCGGCUAAAUACGUGCCAGCCGCCGCGGUAAUUC
rnacentral:rRNA from 1 species